GUUUUAAUUUUUUUAUGAGAAUAAUAAAAAAUGUUAUAUCUGUUUUAUUAAUAAUAAUAAUAAAUUUAUCAAGAUAAUUAAAUUGAGAAAAAAAAAAAGAAACUGCCCCAACUAAAAAUUAGGAGCACUUAUAUAGUUAUACGUAUCUUUUUCAAGUUCAGUUGUUGUGUUCCCUCACCAUUGCUACCUCCCGUUCCCCUCACCAUUGCUACCUCCGGAUCCCCUUUCUACCUUCAGCUCUCAUCUCCGACGACAAUUCCCGUGUCAAAUUCCAUUGCAGCAGAAAAAUUCAUUCGGCCCGUGACAAAUUCAUUCGGCCCACGACAAAUUCCAUUUCAGCAGACUUCGCAAUUUGCAAUUUCUACCUAGCAAACCGUUUUGGGAGAAAUCAACUACUACAAUCGCCUUUGUUGCCAGCAAUUUACAGUUAUUUUCAAGGUUUAUGACUCAGAUGGUAAUGGAAAGGUGACUUUCAAUGACAUCUUAGAAGUGCUGAGGACAUGACUGGUUCAUUUAUGUCUAAGGAGCAAAGAGAGGUGGGAGAGCAAGAGAUUUAGAAGCAAAGCCACCCUCACCCAGGUGAAAAACUGGGGAAAAGAUUGCUUUACCCCUACCAAGCCUUUUUCUCUUCGACUGUUUGACUGUAUAUGAUUGCCAUACUGGCUUGGGGCUCGUCGUACACUCCAAGUCCUCCAGGGCAAUUAAAUAACGUGUAAAUACAGUUAACUUAUAAUACUACCUUCAUUUCUAUUACAGUAGAAGGGAUUUACUAAGGCCUUUUGUAGGAAACAGAAAGGCAUGGUCUUUUUGCUGCUUUACAACUAAUAUAGUGGCACAUACUUUAUUGUGGCAUUUGAUUUUCUUGAAGACAGACAAGAGAGAUGUCAUUUAUGGGUUCUCUUAUAAGAACAAGUUUUGUUGACAUCACUGGUGGGUUCUCUUAUACUGUGGUCAUUGUUUUCUGAAACUCAUAAUGCUUAUUAAUUUUUUGGAUCAUCCAUGAGAUUUUAUGAAUUAUGAAGUUGUUCUCUUUGAAACUUUCUUUGGAAUUGUUUUCUUUUGCGUGGCUUUGUUGAGUUUAGUGCGCAACUGGCCACAUAAUAUAUACACUCUUUCUGCACUGGCCUUUUCCUUUUCCUUGUACCCUAAUGUCUUCCCUUACAACUCUCUAUUAUCAAGGUACUGAAAUACCAUCCUUUAGCUCUUCUCCUCCAUGAUCUAUAACACAGCAAAAAGAAAAACAAAAAAAAAAGCUGCUUCCUUGGACAUAGGCUUUAGUCCUGCCUGUGAUGUCCCUAUUGUUUAUCUCAUUUUGUAGAAUCGUACUUCCAAUUGAGCCAUCCUUGAUAUAGUCAAUUUGAAAUGAGCUAUAUGGCUUUUAGUGCCACUAUUAGGUCCAUCUGGUACGUGUUAAGGCAGCUGUCAUUUUUCAGUAGUCAUAAAUAUUUUUAACUCCUCUACAUGCUGUUCACUCUUUAAUAAAGUAUUGUAUCUAUAUGGAAUCACUAAUGCAAUUGAAAAGUUGGCUAUUCUUUCAAAAAUGUAAAGCCUUAAGUUCCCCAAAUUACGAUGAUCUUUUGGAAGGAGCAUCAACUCUACUAUUUGCUGCAUCGAUAAAAAUGUGCAAAAAAUAAUAUAUGUGCAAAAAUCAAAGUGUUUUAUUUAUUCAGAUGCAGCACGUACCAUCGAAUAGGCCUCGUGUUAUAUGGAAUCAAAUAGACGUAUCUGACUUUCAUUUCAUUAUUUUGAUAACGAAAAAUAUUUUUCAUUGUCUAUAUUAAAGUAUUUGUGAUUUCUUGUGUAUAGUGCCCUUGUCAACCGCUGGGUACCCUAGACUGUGGAUAUUAUGUGUGUCGCUACAUGCUUGAGACGGUACAGUUGAGACGACUACUUAUUCCUGAUAAGGAACUUGAACAUUAGUUAUAAUUUGGCUUUUUUUAAUUUCUAUAUGAUUACGAAUCUUUUAGACUGUAGAUUUGUAUUUAUAUUAUAUUAGAGAUAUGAAGAGCAGUUUGGAUAAAUUGGUUGAAAAUACUUGAUUAUUAUUUUAUAUCUGAAUGAUCUUGUCACAACUAUGAUAAAUUAAUUUGUGCAUGAUUAAUUAAAAAUUUUAAUUACUUUUCAAGUUUUUGUAUAUGAGU